rnacentral:lncRNA from 1 species
GAGAAGACAAAAGCCAUCAGGGUGGGCCGAAUGAUCUCCAGCCUCCCCCCCUCCCCCCCGUUUUGUUUGUGUUUGCCUUUUAGAGGUGUUCGUUUGUGUGUUUGUUUGUUUGUUUGUUUUAAUAAAAUUGUGUGUGUGUGUGUGUGUGUGUGUGUGUGUGUACACGUGUGCCCGCGAGUGUAUGCAGGUACCCUAGGAGAUCAGAAGAGAGUAUCUAUCAGAUCCUGUGGCUCUGGAGUUACAGGCUGCCUUACAUGGUCACUGGCAAGUGAAUUCUGAUCCUAUGGAAGAGCAAUGAGUGCUCUUAACCACUGAUCCAGCCUUUGUGUAUGUUUUAGAACAGGGUCUUACUCUGUGGCCCCAGCUGGCCUCUUAAGUACCAGUCAUCUUGCCUCAAGCCUGCUGAGUGCUGAGACUGCAGACAUCUGCCACGACGCCUGGCUAAGAUCCAGUCGUCCCAACAAGCCAGGGAGAGAGCCAGGGUGGUGAAGGUUUGUGUUCCCAGAAAACCCCAGGGUUCAAGCCCCACCAAGACCCUUUUCCUGGGCCAGGACUUCAGAUCCACCGGAAAGCGCACAGAUCUAGGCUUCCCACAGUCUCCAGCAAGGUCUCUUGCAUUUAACAGGGAGACGAGAAUCUCACGCCUACACUCAUUCCCGUCAGGCAUCGGAUAACACACUUGUCAGCCCACAUGUUAAACCAGAAGGAAGGACAUGUCUGGAAAAGAAGGAGAGAGGAAUCCAUCCCGUGGCGACUGCACAGCAAAGGGCAGAGCAGCCUGUGCUGCGGGCAAAGGGUUAGGCAAAAGCACUUGAAGCAAUGGGUGGCCCACAGUUUGGACAGGCAGGAACUGAUAGCUGCUGAGCAGGAGGAAGGAGAGGAGAGAGGGAAACCCACCUCAGGUUUUUGGUAGGGUGAAGUGGGGUAGGACUGUGUGUCUCGAGGGGAGGGAUGGCUCCACCCCCUUGCCCAGAGUCCCUGUGUCUACAACUAUAUGGGCACAGUCUAGCAGAGGGAAUGUAGGGUGAACUGCUGGGUCUCCAGGGCUGACCCCUUAGCAAAGUGGAGCUGGCAGCUUCUGCUGACUCAAGGACAUUUCCAGGCUUGACCUUAAGGCCAAUUAAAAACAGCUGCUUCUCUUGGCUGGCAGCCCCUGAGCCAGGCUCUGGCUCUCCCUGGAAUGACAGCCUCACCUCUCCCUCUAUGUGACCUGGGGAGGGGACUAAUAAGAGGGAUGCUGAAGGACUGAAGGCCACACUGCAAUCUUUAGGUCAGAUCUCCCCCCCCCCCCACCCCCUAGAGUCACCAGCUCUCCAAGAGCUAAGCCAGAUGGUGGCCGGGGCCCCAGUUUCAGAUUCCAGUGUCUGGCCUUUGGGCCUGCGGUUCCCCAGCCUGGAACACCCUCCUGUCCUCGCCUCUGCUCCAGCGAGCCUUCAGGAUUUCGUAGCACAUGCCUUUCGUUCAACAGCGAUUUCCUGAGUCUGCUGCUGCAUGUCAGGCACCGGGCUCAAAUUAGCUCCUCAACCGCUUCCUUCAGCAGCAAUGUCUUCAGCUUGUCCUAGAGAGCAGCCGGUUAGCUAAGGGCUCCCACCUCUGGCCCGGUCUGCUCUGGAGGAGUCUGGUAAGCUUCAGGGGCAGCGAGGAGGUUUCUGUGGAGAAAUAAAACCCGCCUUGCCACAUUGCUUUAAAACCCACUCUCUGUCUGUGCAUGGGAAUAAGUUUCCAUGGUGAUAGCCCGGACAUCUGAGACAUGGAAAGGGUGGACCACCGCUUUGGCAGUACCAGAGAGAUUCCUGCUAUACUCUGGUGACCUGGAAAGCCUCUUUCCAUCCAACACCUUCCUUCCAACCAUGCAGCCUGAAUUUGGGCUGACUGGUUUGCACGUGUUGAUGUGUGGCUUGUAACUCUUGCAGGGAUUGCUUCAGGAUGUUCAUCUCUUCGGCUUCUCUGUAAACAGCUCAAGGGCAGAGGCCCUGUCAUCUCAUCCACAUUUAAUCCCCCUGCAGUACCUAGGAAAGGACAGGGUUGUCAUCAGCAUGGGGUGAGAGGGCUGGCAGAUGGGGGGAGCAGCCAGAAGGGUGGUCAGGAGAAUGCAAGGCAGGGUCCAGCCUCCUCCAAACGGAUCGCCAUGGCACUGCAGACCCAAGGAACAGGCCUAGCAAAGGCAAAGGGAUCGUGGGGCCUCAGCAUCCUGAGGAGGAAAGUGCUGAAGUGGGCUCUGGUCCCAUAGAUCCCUGCAGUUACCAGAAAAACAGGAGCAUAAAGCAGUCAGGCUCAACACAGAUUGCGGCUGUGGCUCAGUGACAGAGCACUUGCUCAGUGUAAACCCCUGGGUUUAAGUCCCUAACAC